AUGGCCCGUGUGACCAAACUGCACCCGCAACACAAGUUUUAUGAAGGGGUUUUUCGGUUUGCAAGUAUCAUGACUGAAGUGCACCCGCAAGAACUCCAUAUCUGGAGGCAUUAUUUUGUCCAUGUGGUGAUGGCGGAGCGGGACAUUAAUCCUGUUCAUGCGGCGUCGUCUCUGCCUCGGAAGCUCGUGGUGGCGGCCGCUCUUCUUGCGCUGUCUGUGGCCAUCGUGGCGUCGCGUGCGCCGGAGAACCAGAGCAGCUGCUACAAGCGUUUAUUCAGCUUCGGUGACUCUCUGAUCGACACCGGCAACUACAUCGCCCACUUCUCCGCCACACCGGGUCGCGUGGUGGAGUUACCAUCCCGGUGUUUCCAUCACCUACGUCGACUACUAUGGCGAGGUGCUCAGCCUUGUCACCAAGCCGGCGGAGAAUGGUUUCGGCGUCGAGACGGUGCUUGA
rnacentral:rRNA from 1 species